rnacentral:rRNA from 1 species
UACGGGGGGGGGUAAGGCGUUGUUCGGAAUUACUGGGCGUAAAGGGCUCGUAGGCGGCCAACUAAGUCAUACGUGAAAUCCCUCAGCUUAACUGGGGAACUGCGUGUGAUACUGGAUGGCUUGGAUUUGGGAGAGGGAUGCGGAAUUCCAGGUGUAGCGGUGAAAUGCGUAGAUAUCUGGAGGAACACCGGUGGCGAAGGCGGCAUCCUGGACCAAUAUUGACGCUGAGGAGCGAAAGCUAGGGGGAGCAAACGGGG